GACCUCCCAGGAUCGCAUCUGGAGAGCUUCCCAUAACUCUUCCAGCUUCGGACACAGGAGGGAGAGAACAUGCAGUGAGAUACCCAUUCCUUUGCUGGCUUGGUAAUGGGCCAGUGAAUGGAAGAUAACUCUGCAACAAGC